rnacentral:lncRNA from 1 species
CUCGGUGAAACUCGGAUGCCAACUUGGGUCAGCGGGUAUGUGCAGUAGGCGUGUUCUCCUCUUGAAUGAACGUCUUCGACGCCAACUUGGGAAACUACGUAUCCGCCACUGGG